ACAAAAUACAUGCAGAAAAAUAGAAAAUACAAAAAAUUUUAUCAAGAUAUUUUUAUAGACAAAUUUGCAAAUUUAAGUAUACAAUAGUCAUUGUAAUUAUUAUAUAUCACCGGUAAAAAAUAAAUAUAGAAAACAAUAUUUUCCAAGAUUUACACUGUCAUCCUUGAGUAAAGACAUCAGAUGAAGAUAUCUCUUCAUCAAUUAAUGAUGGUACUUCUUGUAUAUAUGUAUAGGCCCGUAAAAAAUGAAAUUCAGUUAUAUAAACAAGUAAUAAUACAAUAACAAAUGGAGACCAUUUUACAAGUCUGAUAUAUUCUCGCAUACGAUCAAAAAAUAUUGCCAAAAGUAGAUAAUCCAUGACAGCAUGGAAAUUUAGAAAUUUCCAGCAAAAAGCUAUUAUUGAAAAAGAUGAACUUCUGAAUAUAGUUGUUUGUCUAUCAUAAAGAUGUUCUCUACUAAUCGAUGGUGUUCUAUAAUCAGUCUCAAGAAGAUCCUGGUAUAAAGAUAUAUAUCGAUUCCAGGCGGCACUGGUUCCAGAACUGAAGAUACAGGAAGUUGAGGCAGCUUAUCAUAACCUCCACGUCUACUUGAGUUACGGGCAAGAAAUUGAUAUAGGCCAAUAAUAAAAGCAACACAACCCAAACCAUCACAGAUACCAUCAAUAAUAUAACCAGUUGAACCAAUAUCUGAUCGUUCACCAUUAAUUUUUGCUCUUUUUCUAGCAACAUGUCCAUCUAAAUCAUCCAACCAUGUUCUUGCUUGAAAAAUUAUUACACCUAAGCGUCUAUAAGACAACGAAUCACUUGAUACACAUUUACCAGCUGCCACUGCUAUGAAUAUAUGAAAACAACUGAUUGCAUUUGGUGUCACCCAUAUCCAAGAUCUACUUAUUUGCAAUAAAUCAUCCAUGAUAGCUGCAAGAGGGCUCAGAAGAAAAUGAUUUGGAUGAUCAAGCAUUAAUCCUUUUACAGUCACUGUACAUAAUGGAUUAAAAUCACAAGAAUACAACAAAAGGUCCAUUCCAAGGAAGUAUAAUGUCAAUAAUAUCAAAAUUGUUAGGAAUGACCUGCUCACUAGAGUUGUUGUACCAAACAUUUUUCAUAUAAAUUUGGCACGUAAUUAUAUAUUGGAUGAACCUGUAUAUGUACAUAUAACAAUUGUAUUAUCAUAAUUAACAGUAUUUUGCCCUGCAACGAAGAAUGUUGUGAUAUUCAGAGAUUCUCAGUAUGAUAUGAUCCCACAUGGUUACAUGAAAUCUUACAGAUUUUGAAUGUAUUAUUUCGAUCAAUUGAUGUAUAUCAUAUUAGUAUGUUUUAUGCGAAAAUUCAAAAAGCUUUUUGAGCUUAUUUAAUGUAUUAUUUAUCGAUAUAAUAUGACAUUUUUUUUAAUCAAUUUUUAAUCGCACUAUUGUCACAUAAUUUCUUUUAAUUGUUCAAUAAUAAAAUAACUAAUUAUAAAAAUUU
rnacentral:lncRNA from 1 species